AUUGAACGCUGGCGGCGUGCCUAACACAUGCAAGUCGAGCGGUAACAGGCGUAGCAAUACGCGCUGACGAGCGGCGAACGGGUGCGUAAUACAUGGGAAUCUGCCCUUUGGUGGGGAAUAACCCGGCGAAAGCCGGGCUAAUGCCGCAUAAGAUCCUCGGAUGAAAGCGGGGGACCGUAAGGCCUCGCGCCGUUGGAUGAGCCCAUGUCGGAUUAGCUAGUUGGCGGGGUAACGGCCCACCAAGGCGACGAUCCGUAGCUGGUCUGAGAGGACGGCCAGCCACACUGGGACUGAGACACGGCCCAGACUCCUACGGGAGGCAGCAGUGGGGAAUAUUGGACAAUGGGGGAAACCCUGAUCCAGCGACGCCGCGUGUGUGAAGAAGGCCUGCGGGUUGUAAAGCACUUUCGAUGGGAACGAAAUGUGCCGGGCCAACACCCCGGCAAGCUGACGUUACUCAAUGAAGAAGCACCGGCUAACUCUGUGCCAGCAGCCGCGGUAA
rnacentral:rRNA from 1 species